rnacentral:rRNA from 1 species
AAAUGAAUUGACGGGGGCCCGCACAAGCAGUGGAGUAUGUGGUUUAAUUCGACGCAACGCGAAGAACCUUACCAGGGCUUGACAUCCCGCGCAUACCUAAGAGAUUAGGGAAAUCCUUUUAGGACGCGGAGACAGGUGGUGCAUGGUUGUCGUCAGCUCGUGUCGUGAGAUGUUGGGUUAAGUCCCGCAACGAGCGCAACCCCUGUUGUUAGUUGCCAUCAUUAAGUUGGGCACUCUAGCGAGACUGCCGGUGACAAAUCGGAGGAAGGUGGGGACGACGUCAAAUCAUCAUGCCCCUUAUGUCCUGGGCUACACACGUACUACAAUGGCUAUUACAGAGGGAAGCAAACCCGCAAGGGGGAGUAAAUCCCUAAAAAUAGUCCCAGUUCGGAUUGUGGGCUGCAACUCGCCCACAUGAAGUCGGAAUUGCUAGUAAUUGCAGGUCAGCAUACUGCAGUGAAUACGUACCCGGGCCUUGUACACACCGCCCGU